AACGGGCGAGAUGAAUUUGAUCAAGUUCCGCAUAAUGAUUUAUAUGCGGUCGUAUAGAGCCACGUACUCGCCCGGUACGACGUCCCUCGAGUGCAGGUGAGCCGACGUGACGAAAUGGAAUCGGAUACGGGAAACGAACACGGGGAAGUUGGCGUCAGCGGACGUGAUGAAAUGGAAUCGGAUCCGGGAAACGCACACGGGGAGGUUGGCGUCAUAAAUAAGCCUUUCGAAAUUUGAAUUGUAAUUUUAUUGGAGGAAGCAAAAAAUUUGUAGUGGAAUUGACCAAAGAGUGAUUACUCUCAUAGAGAUACUUUUAGAUUCACC
rnacentral:lncRNA from 1 species